rfam:Schistosoma rodhaini strain Burundi genome assembly, scaffold: SROB_scaffold0001638
AUCCAGCCGAAUAGUCUCAAAUAGGACGAAACGCGCAUCCUGGAU